GUGCUCACUGAAGCAGAACAUUUACUAAAACUAGAACAAUACAGAGAAGAUUAGUAUGACCCCUGUGCAAAGAAGACAUGCACAUUGGAGAGGCAUUCGUUAUUGUU